rnacentral:rRNA from 1 species
GAGUUUGAUCGUGGCUCAGAUUGAACGCUGGCGGCAGGCCUAACACAUGCAAGUCGGGCGGUAGAGAGAAGCUUGCUUCUCUUGAGAGCGGCGGACGGGUGAGUAAUGCCUAGGAAUCUGCCUGGUAGUGGGGGAUAACGCUCGGAAACGGACGCUAAUACCGCAUACGUCCUACGGGAGAAAGCAGGGGACCUUCGGGCCUUGCGCUAUCAGAUGAGCCUAGGUCGGAUUAGCUAGUUGGUGAGGUAAUGGCUCACCAAGGCGACGAUCCGUAACUGGUCUGAGAGGAUGAUCAGUCACACUGGAACUGAGACACGGUCCAGACUCCUACGGGAGGCAGCAGUGGGGAAUAUUGGACAAUGGGCGAAAGCCUGAUCCAGCCAUGCCGCGUGUGUGAAGAAGGUCUUCGGAUUGUAAAGCACUUUAAGUUGGGAGAAGGGCAGUAAAUUAAUACUUUGCUGUUUUGACGUUACCGACAGAAUAAGCACCGGCUAACUCUGUGCCAGCAGCCG